rnacentral:rRNA from 3 species
GGACUACCGGGGUAUCUAAUCCCGUUCGCUCCCCUGGCUUUCGCGCCUCAGCGUCAGAAAAGGUCCAGUCGAUCGCUUUCGCCACCGGCGUUCCUUCCGAUAUCUACGCAUUUCACCGCUCCACCGGAAGUUCCAUCGACCCCUACCUCCCUCGAGACCGCCAGUAUCCCAGGCAAUUCCCCGGUUGAGCCGGGGGAUUUCACCCCGGACUUGGCGGCCCGCCUACGCGCCCUUUAAGCCCAGUGAUUCCGAACAACGUUCGCACGGUUCGUCUUACCGCGGCUGCUGGCAC